AAAAAAAGGAAAUAGUAAGAAGUGUCUAUUUUACAAAUUGUGAAUAGAAAAUAUACUAAAUUCGUAAUUUUAUUUUAAAAAUAUACUAUAAUGCCAAAUAUUCCUAAAUUUAAAGUGUUUCAUGGGAACACAUAGAGAAACACAUGACAUGUCCUGCUGGAUCUGGAUGUCCUACGUUUUGAUAUCCAUUUUGCUCUUCGUUU
rnacentral:lncRNA from 1 species